UACUAGCUGUGUCAUUUGGGACAAGUUAAACUCUCUGGGAUUCAGUUUCUGAAGUUUUAAAGUAAAGUUCAACACUCUCUUUGCUGGACCAACCACCUCAUCAAUAACAACGAUUUAGAAGGUGAAGGCAAAUGGUAUGGAGAAAGAGCACCAGAUAUGGAAUCAGAGCCCUCAUCAUUUGUAUGACCAUCGACUCCAUUUGGCAUUUUCUUGGCAAAGAUACUGGAUGGUAUCUUUCUUCUUCUCCAGUUAAUUUUUACACUUGAG
rnacentral:lncRNA from 1 species